UUGAGUUGUCUAAUAUCGUUCCUUCUCCAUUAGUUGAUACUUCAAGGAGGCUUUUCCUGGAAUGAAAGAACAAAAAUGGAUUCAUAAAGUUUUAAUUACUGAAUCGCUUCCCAAUGGUAUGUUCCGGGUUCGGUUAGAUAACGAAGAUCUGAUCCUAGGUUAUGUUUCAGGAAAGAUUCGGCGUAGUUUUAUACGGAUACUGCCAGGAGAUAGAGUCAAAAUUGAAGUAAGUCAUUAUCAUUCAACCAGAGGACGUAUAAUUUAUUGACUCUGCAACAAGAAUUGGAAGGAUUAGGUGGAUUUUAUUCAAUAUGAUUCGAGAUGAAAAAUGGUAAGAAACUUAUUUUCUUUCAAGAAGUAGAUUCAGAAUUAAGAUAAGGAAUGACAAAUAUGAAAAUAAGAGCUUCUGUUCGUAAAAUUUGUGAAAAAUGUCGCCUAAUCCGUAGGCGGGGGCGCAUUAUAGUAAUUUGUUCCAACCCGAGACAUAAACAAAGACAAGGAUAAUCAGACUCACUAAAGGACUCGAUGUAAAAAUAAGGAAUCUGUUUUGACAUGAAAUGGAUAUAUCCAUAUAUCUCUGACUCAUAUUUAUGAGAUGAUAAAAUAUGGCAAAAGCUAUACCGAGAAUUGGUUCACGUAGAAAUGGACGUAUUGGUUCACGUAAGAGUGCACGUAGAAUACCAAAGGGGGUUAUUCAUGUUCAAGCAAGUUUCAAUAAUACCAUUGUCACGGUUACAGAUGUACGGGGUCGGGUGGUUUCUUGGUCCUCAGCGGGUACUUGUGGAUUCAAGGGUACGAGAAGAGGGACACCCUUUGCCGCUCAAACUGCAGCAGCAAAUGCUAUUCGUACAGUAGUAGAUCAAGGUAUGCAACGAGCAGAAGUCAUGAUAAAAGGUCCCGGUCUCGGAAGAGACGCAGCAUUACGAGCUAUUCGUAGAAGUGGUAUACUAUUAACUUUCGUACGGGAUGUAACCCCUAUGCCACAUAAUGGUUGCAGACCCCCGAAAAAAAGACGUUGGAAGUGUGUUGAAUCAAGAGAAGACAGUAAACGUCUUUAUUAUGGACGCUUUAUUCUGUCUCCACUUAUGAAAGGUCAAGCCGACACAAUAGGCAUUGCGAUGCGAAGAGCUUUACUUGGAGAAAUAGAAGGAACAUGUAUCACACGUGUAAAAUCUGAGAACGUCCCACAUGAAUAUUCUACCAUAGCGGGUAUUCAAGAAUCGGUCCAUGAAAUUUUAAUGAAUUUAAAAGAAAUUGUAUUGAGAAGUAAUCUAUAUGGAACUUGUGACGCGUCUAUUUGUGUCAGAGGUCCAGGAUAUGUAACUGCUCAAGAUAUCAUCUUACCACCUUAUGUAGAAAUCGUUGAUAAUACACAACAUAUAGCUAGCUUGAUAGAACCAAUUGAUUUGUGUAUUAGAUUACGAAUCAAGAGAAAUCAUGGAUAUUUUAUCAAAAUGCCACUUAACUUUCAAGAUGGAAGUUAUCCUAUAGAUGGUGUAUUCAUGCCUGUUCAAAAUGCAAAUCAUAGUAUUCAUUCUUAUGGGAAUGGGAAUGAAAAACAAGAGAUACUCUUUCUCGAAAUAUGGACAAAUGGGAGUUUAACUCCGAAAGAAGCACUUCAUGAAGCCUGCCGGAAUUUGAUUGAUUUAUUUAUUCCCUUUUUACAUAAGGAAGAAGAAAACUUACCUUUAGAGGACAAUCAACACACGGUUCCUUUAUCUCCUCUUACCUUUCACGAUAAAUUGGAUAAACUCAGAAAAAAAGCAUUGAAAUCGAUUUUUAUUGACCAAUCAGAAUUCUCUCCUAGCGUCUAUAAUUGCCUCAAAAGGUCCAAUAUAUAUAGGACCUUUUGAAUAACAGUCUGGAAGAUCUCAUGAAAAUUGAACAUUUGCACCUAGAAGAUAUAAAACAGUUAUUGGUCAUUCUAGAAAAACAUUUCGCAAUUGAUUUACCAAAAAAGAAGUUUUAA